CUCGGCGUCUAUACAUGCAGUCGAACGCUUCUUUUUCCACCGGAGCUUGCUCCACCGGAAAAAGAAGAGUGGCGAACGGGUGAGUAACACGUGGGUAACCUGCCCAUCAGAAGGGGAUAACACUUGGAAACAGGUGCUAAUACCGUAUAACAAUCAAAACCGCAUGGUUUUGAUUUGAAAGGCGCUUUCGGGUGUCGCUGAUGGAUGGACCCGCGGUGCAUUAGCUAGUUGGUGAGGUAACGGCUCACCAAGGCCACGAUGCAUAGCCGACCUGAGAGGGUGAUCGGCCACAUUGGGACUGAGACACGGCCCAAACUCCUACGGGAGGCAGCAGUAGGGAAUCUUCGGCAAUGGACGAAAGUCUGACCGAGCAACGCCGCGUGAGUGAAGAAGGUUUUCGGAUCGUAAAACUCUGUUGUUAGAGAAGAACAAGGAUGAGAGUAACUGUUCAUCCCUUGACGGUAUCUAACCAGAAAGCCACGGCUAACUACGUGCCAGCAGCCGCGGUAAUACGUAGGUGGCAAGCGUUGUCCGGAUUUAUUGGGCGUAAAGCGAGCGCAGGCGGUUUCUUAAGUCUGAUGUGAAAGCCCCCGGCUCAACCGGGGAGGGUCAUUGGAAACUGGGAGACUUGAGUGCAGAAGAGGAGAGUGGAAUUCCAUGUGUAGCGGUGAAAUGCGUAGAUAUAUGGAGGAACACCAGUGGCGAAGGCGGCUCUCUGGUCUGUAACUGACGCUGAGGCUCGAAAGCGUGGGGAGCAAACAGGAUUAGAUACCCUGGUAGUCCACGCCGUAAACGAUGAGUGCUAAGUGUUGGAGGGUUUCCGCCCUUCAGUGCUGCAGCUAACGCAUUAAGCACUCCGCCUGGGGAGUACGACCGCAAGGUUGAAACUCAGAAAAAUAUUUAUCGCCGGG
rnacentral:rRNA from 1 species